UAGUCCACGCCGUAAACUAUGGAUGCUAGUUGUCGGGCAGUAUACUGUUCGGUGACGCAGCUAACGCAUUAAGCAUCCCGCCUGGGGAGUACGGCCGCAAGGUUAAAACUCAAAGAAAUUGACGGGGGCCCGCACAAGCGGUGGAGCAUGUGGUUUAAUUCGAAGCAACGCGCAGAACCUUACCUACCCUUGACAUAC
rnacentral:rRNA from 14 species